rnacentral:rRNA from 1 species
UACGUAGGGGGCAAGCGUUGUCCGGAUUUAUUGGGCGUAAAGAGCGUGUAGGCGGCCUGACAAGUCUGCUGUGAAAACUCGAGGCUCAACCUCGAGAUGUCGGCGGAAACUGUCUGGCUAGAGUCCGGAAGAGGAGAGUGGAAUUCCUGGUGUAGCGGUGAAAUGCGCAGAUAUCAGGAAGAACACCUAUGGCGAAGGCAGCCCUCUGGGACGGUACUGACGCUGAGACGCGAAAGCGUGGGGAGCGAACAGG